GAAAAUAUUUCUUCAUUCUACAAAAUUAGGUCUUCUCUUGAGAAACCCUUACCAUUUGGAGAAACCAGUAGCUAAUUGAUGGCUACACAAUUAGAGCUCAAUGACAGUGUAAUGGUGGAGUAAGACGUUGCUAUUAGAUAUCCGGUUGAGGUGAGAUGCUUUUGCAGGAGACCUGUUAAGCUGAUGAUAUAGUAGAUAGAUAGAAAUCCAGCUAGAAGGUUAUGGGGUUGUUCAUACCAAGUACACUAAAUCCUUAUGCAUUGACCUAAAUUGAAAUACAAUGUAGCUGGUUUGGGUAAUUGAUUUGAACCCUAGUUUGAAUUUCUGCCUCCUUCACUAAACUCAUGACUCGGUAAUGUUCAAGCCAUCUCUAAAAUAUAAUAUUUUGAGAUUAAAUCCCAAUUAGAAGUUAAGGAAUUAAAUAAAAACAUACUUUAAAUUGAACUUAUAAGACUAGGAAAAUC
rnacentral:misc_RNA from 1 species